rnacentral:misc_RNA from 1 species
AACUGAACCGAACCACCACCCAAGCCCACAAACUUAGACCCAACCUCAAACCUAGAGCCCUGGGGGAAACGAGAUGAGCAAGGAGCAGGGAACGCACCCAUUUAUGAUUGCCAUCUUCUCAAAAUGCCAGGCAGAUCGAAGCUAGCCACACAAUUCAGCAAUGCAAAAAGCACAAAAGUUGCUCAUCCACACACAACCAGCGCUUCAACAGAACAACAUAUGUUUACCAAAACUGCAAACAGGGACAUGA